rnacentral:rRNA from 1 species
AGAGUUUGAUCCUGGUUCAGGAUGAACGUUGGCGGUGCGCUUUAUGCAUGCAAGUCGUACGGAGCUGUAGUUUUCGGAUUACGGUUCAGUGGCGGACGGCUGAGUAACACGUAGGUAACUUGCCCGCGAGCGGGGGAUAACUUGCCGAAAGGUAGGCUAAUACCGCAUGGCAUGGAUUUGCUAAAGCAGAUUCAUUAAAGUCGUAAGACACUCGCGGAUGGGCCUGCGGCCGAUUAGCUAGUUGGCGGGGUAACGGCCCACCAAGGCGGUGAUCGGUAGCUGGUCUGAGAGGAUGUCCAGCCAGAUGGGGACUGAGACACGGCCCCAACUCCUACGGGAGGCAGCAGCAAGGAAUAUUGGGCAAUGGGCGAAAGCCUGACCCAGCGACACCGCGUGGGGGAAGAAGGUUCUCGGAUCGUAAACCCCUUUUCUCAGGGAAGAUAGUGACGGUACCUGAGGAAUAAGUCUCGGCCAACUACGUGCCAGCAGCCGCGGUAAUAC